rnacentral:rRNA from 1 species
AACGAACGCUGGCGGCAGGCUUAACACAUGCAAGUCGAGCGCCCCGCAAGGGGAGCGGCAGACGGGUGAGUAACGCGUGGGAAUCUACCCAUCUCUACGGAAUAACGCAUGGAAACGUGUGCUAAUACCGUAUACGUCCUUCGGGAGAAAGAUUUAUCGGAGAUGGAUGAGCCCGCGUUGGAUUAGCUAGUUGGUGGGGUAAAGGCCUACCAAGGCAACGAUCCAUAGCUGGUCUGAGAGGAUGAUCAGCCACACUGGGACUGAGACACGGCCCAGACGCCUACGGGAGGCAGCAGUGGGAAUAUUGGACAAUGGGCGCAAGCCUGAUCCAGCCAUGCGGCGUGAGUGAUGAGGGGCCUAGGGUUGUAAAGCUCUUUCACCGGUGAAGAUAAUGACGGUAACCGGAGAAGAAGCCCCGGCUAACUUCGUGCCAGCCGCCGCAGUAACAC